UACGGAGGGUGCAAGCGUUGUUCGGAAUUACUGGGCGUAAAGCGCGCGCAGGUGGUUGGAUAAGUCAGAUGUGAAAGCCCACGGCUCAACCGUGGACGUGCAUUUGAAACUGUCCGACUUGAGUACUGGAGGGGGUAGUGGAAUUCCCGGUGUAGAGGUGAAAUUCGUAGAUAUCGGGAGGAAUACCGGUGGCGAAGGCGACUACCUGGCCAGAUACUGACACUGAGGUGCGAAAGCGUGGGGAGCAAACAGG
rnacentral:rRNA from 1 species